GGGUCCUAAGGGGCAAGUCCUGAAAGUAGCCGUUUAAGGCCUUCUGCCCCCUUCCGCUGGCCAGGGCCACCAGUUGCGUGGCCAUCCCUGAUGCUGGAGUCUGGCAAACGUGGCCCAGGCCCAGGAUGACCGGGAUAAGAUGGACAUUGGCAGGCGCCAGGGCCCCGCCCCGCUGCCCACCGCUUCCUCUAGCCCACCUCUGCUGACAGUUGCAUCUGGAGCUUUUCUGUUACUAAGAGGUGUCCUGGCUUCCCAGUGAUAUUCGGCACCUGGCAAGGGCAGGAACUCCUCAGGGAUCCCUUUGGUUCCCUAUGGAGCCUAGGGGCCAGUAAAACGUUUGUUGACAAGCAGACAAUGGUAUCAUCAGAGGGGACACCGUGUGCAUCUUGCCUGUGAUGAGCCACUGAGUGACGGUCCUCUGCCUCCUCGCCCAGCGCCCAGAUAGCCAGGUGUGCUGCCCGCUGGCUUUCUUACCUGAGGGAUGGGAUGAACAGACGGCUGAGUGGACAGACGGACAGAGAGAUGAACUCCUGCCGUUCCGCGUGCUGCCACUGAGUGGCGGGGUAUCACAGUCUUCUUGAAUGCCCAGUCCGUCUUCUGCGGGAGGAGGUGUGGCUGAGAUAGUCUUCAUCACGUGGGGGGUGUAAUGCGCACUCCUUCCCCGCACUGGAGUGCCAUUUCCAGAACCUCCUGCUCGACGAGGGACAGAGGAACGGCGGGCUGUGUUCCCUUCUACCAGGCCCCCUCGCUUUAAUUUGCUGUAACAGAGCCAGCACAUUAAAUACAAAACAUAUUGAUGUUCUUGAGAACCCUGGAGGGUCUUUACCCCUUCCUCGUCAGAGGAGCCUGGCAUGCCGGGAGGGAGAGAAGAUGGUGUUCGGCAUGCACGCGGGGUGGCGCCUCCGGCGGGUCACAACUGAUCGUCUGCCAAGAGCUGUGACCUCCCAGAGGACAGCGGGUGGGCAGAGGGACAGAGGUGCCAUCGUGCCUGCCUCGGAGCAAGAGGGAGCAUGCGGACAGGGCGGGCACCCUCGGGUUCAGGGCCACGGGCACACAGCG
rnacentral:lncRNA from 1 species